rnacentral:rRNA from 1 species
CGCGUGUGUGAAGAAGGCCUUCGGGUUGUAAAGCACUUUCAGUAAGGAGGAAGCGUUGAGUGUUAAUAGUACUCAGCGUUGACGUUACUUACAGAAGAAGCACCGGCUAACUCUGUGCCAGCAGCCGCGGUAAUACAGAGGGUGCAAGCGUUAAUCGGAAUUACUGGGCGUAAAGCGCACGUAGGCGGUUUUUUAAGUCAGAUGUGAAAGCCCCGGGCUCAACCUGGGAAUUGCAUUUGAAACUGGAAAACUAGAGUGUGUGAGAGGGGGGUAGAAUUCCAAGUGUAGCGGUGAAAUGCGUAGAGAUUUGGAGGAAUACCAGUGGCGAAGGCGGCCCCCUGGCACAACACUGACGCUCAGGUGCGAAAGCGUGGGGAGCAAACAGGUUUAGAUACCCUGGUAGUCCACGCUGUAAACGAUGUCUACUAGCUGUUCGUGACCUUGUGUCGUGAGUAGCGCAGCUAACGCACUAAGUAGACCGCCUGGGGAGUACGGUCGCAAGAUUAAAACUCAAAUGAAUUGACGGGGGCCCGCACAAGCGGUGGAGCAUGUGGUUUAAUUCGACGCAACGCGAAGAACCUUACCUACUCUUGACAUCCAGAGAAGACUGCAGAGAUGCGGUUGUGCCUUCGGGAACUCUGAGACAGGUGCUGCAUGGCUGUCGUCAGCUCGUGUUGUGAAAUGUUGGGUUAAGUCCCGCAACGAGCGCAACCCUUAUCCUUAGUUGCCAGCACGUAAUGGUGGGAACUCUAGGGAGACUGCCGGUGAUAAACCGGAGGAAGGUGGGGACGACGUCAAGUCAUCAUGGCCCUUACGAGUAGGGCUACACACGUGCUACAAUGGUAUGUACAGAGGGAGGCAAGCUGGCGACAGUGAG